GCCCUGUGGUUGCUGGAGACUGUUGUGCCAGUACAGCUCUCCAGUGGAUACAACGGGCCAGAGCAACCCUGUGAUGUAUGCAUGGAGGCUGUUUCUCUUCCGCAGCCGCCAUAGCCCGGUCACUGGGACAUGG
rnacentral:snoRNA from 13 species